rnacentral:rRNA from 1 species
AGAGUUUGAUCAUGGCUCAGGACGAACGCUGGCGGCGUGCUUAACACAUGCAAGUCGAACGGAGCACCCCUGAAGGAGUUUUCGGACAACGGAUGGGAAUGCUUAGUGGCGGACUGGUGAGUAACGCGUGAGGAACCUGCCUUCCAGAGGGGGACAACAGUUGGAAACGACUGCUAAUACCGCAUGAUGCGUUGGAGCCGCAUGACUCCGACGCCAAAGAUUUAUCGCUGGAAGAUGGCCUCGCGUCUGAUUAGCUAGUUGGUGAGGUAACGGCCCACCAAGGCGACGAUCAGUAGCCGGACUGAGAGGUUGGCCGGCCACAUUGGGACUGAGAUACGGCCCAGACUCCUACGGGAGGCAGCAGUGGGGAAUAUUGGGCAAUGGACGCAAGUCUGACCCAGCAACGCCGCGUGAAGGAAGAAGGCUUUCGGGUUGUAAACUUCUUUUAAGGGGGAAGAGCAGAAGACGGUACCCCUUGAAUAAGCCACGGCUAACUACGUGCCAGCAGCCGCGGUAAUACGUAGGUGGCAAGCGUUGUCCGGAUUUACUGGGUGUAAAGGGCGUGUAGCCGGAGAGACAAGUCAGAUGUGAAAUCCACGGGCUCAACCCGUGAACUGCCUUUGAAACUGUUUCCCUUGGAUGU